CAUGAUUCCGCCCCCCAAUCCUGAGCCCCGCCUCCGUGUGUGACCUCACCAAGGGACUGGCCUGCAGAGGCCACUCGCGCCCCGCCCCCAGAGGACUCCGGUGUCCGGGUCCGGCUGUGGGUACCGGGGUGGUCCCGAUGCUGGCAGAAGUUCAGAGGGCAGGAGGUAGCCUCGCUGUCCAACAAGGCUGCCGCACCGGAUUUGAGGACGGAGGCCGUGUCUCUAUGGAAGCUCCCUCCCCCAACUGCCUCCCUCCAUGCCUGGCUCUGCCAAGCCCAGGGCCUGGGGCUUUGGAGUCCGGGGCCACCGGGGCCACCGCUGGCUCCUAGUUCCAGUUCCACCACUUAGGGACAGCUGCCCUCUGCCAAGUUUCCUAACCUCACCCAGCCUUGGGGCUGUGGUGAGGAUUAAAAGGUAAUAUCUACCAGUAGAGGGGUGGGCAAUUGCAGAAUAGUCAGGCUAUCUGAUAAAAGGACGAGAACCAGGAGAAGAACAUUGCAGGGAAGAGCAUUUCAGGCCUCCCCCCAGGUAAGCCUUUAAGCUCAGCGUGGUCUAGGAGCCACAGGGAGAAAGCCAGUGCUUUCGCAGCUGAGUGAGCAGGAGCUGGGAAAGAGGCCAGAGGGGAGGCCCUUACCAGAACUGGGAGGGAGAUGGCGGGUGCAAAGGAACCACAGCAGGGUUCAGAGCCAAGAAGUGCUGGGAUCUGACUUCCCUUUCAAUGGGAUCUGUCUGGCUUGAGAAUAACGGAAUGGAACCAGGGCUGAGGCAGGGAGACCAAUCAAGAGUCUGUUGCAGGGCUGGGCACGGUGGCUCACGUCUGUAAUCCCAGCACUUUGGGAGGCUGAGGUGGGCGGAUCUACUUGAGGUCAGGAGUUCGAGACCAGCCUGACCAACAUGGUGAAACCCCAUCUCUACUAAAAAUACAAAAAUUAGCCGGGAGUGGUGGCAUUGUACCUGUAAUCCCAGUUACUUGGGAGGCUGAGGCAGGAGAAUUGCUUGAGCCUGGGAGGCAGAGGUUGCAGUGAGCCAAGAUCACGCUACUGUACUCCAGCCUGGGCGACAGAACAAGACUCGGUCUCAAAAAAAAGAAAAAGAAAAGAAAAGAAAACCAAGAUGGAGAGAGGCAUAGUAGUUUCUAAGACACUGAGCUAAGAAGGAAAGAAGCUUUCAGUGGAAGCCAAGUCUGUCUUACUCUGAAAUGUGUGUUCUUUCCACUCUUUCAGGCUGCCCUAAUUUGCUUUUUAAAGAAUUUUGUGACCCAAAUAAAUAUAAUUGGUGGCAUUUCCAUCGGCAUACCAGAUGACCUCUUCAUAUCUC
rnacentral:lncRNA from 10 species